UUCCGAGCUCCCGAGUCCUCCGAUUCUUCCGCGUCUUCCGCGCGGGCGGAAGCUGGCGUUUUUCCUGGGCUGGCUCAGAGGAGAGAUUGCGUCCAAGCGUUGCUCUAGUGUGCAGUAACUCCACUGUUCCCCAGAGCAUCCAUUUUAAAAAGCAGGAAAGCCCUGCAAAUGCAAAUCAGUGUCUUGGCUGCAGAGGUCCAGAGGAAAUAAGCACGACGUCGCUCUCAGGAGCACCCUGUUCCUGUGAAACCAAACCCCAGGUUUCGGGGACGGCCAUUUCUCAGGUCUUGUUGCACCAGUGCUCACCACGAGGGCUGACACGAAGCCGCCACUGAGGAAAGUCUCCUGGAGGGAAAUCUUGAGCAAAGAAAGAACAAAACCAGCGAAACCUGAAGAAUCUGCUUUGCUUUAAAAGCACACUCUAGCACAUUUAUAUGAGGAAACUUUGAGUGGAAACAAAAAAGUUCAGUUGUCUCAGUCAGGUUUAUGCCUAGUGUGCCCGCCUAGGCGGCCCUCUAAGGCUGAAACUGUCCUCAGAGCAAGGCCACCGCCAGCUAAGUGUUCUUACAAUAGAAACAAAUAUAAACUCACCACUUUAACCUGAUCACUGCCCCAUGUGCUUGCUACCGUCCAAGUUUUCAAUGUGAACUUACACAUAUUGAAAAUAUAUUAAAAUUACAUGUCUGUGUA